UCAAGCAUAAUGUAAUUAAUUAAUUCCUUGUCUUUGCUUAUUUGAUUAUUCCAAAAAAAAAUGUUUAAUUCUACAAUUGCCAACAAUUGAGCUAUUUCAGGUAUUUUUCCUCAAUCUCUUUUAUUUAUUUAAAAAUUAAAAAUAAUAAUUGUUGGGUGUUUAUCUAAUCAACAUACAUGAUAUUUGGUUGAUCACCAGGAUUUAGUUUCUCUAAUACUUUCUCCGUUUUUCAAAUUAAUUGAAUUAUUGAGGUAUUUCACAAUCUUUCAAAAAAAAAAAAUUAAGACAUAAAUUAAGCAUAACUUUUCAUUUUUACUCUUAUUAAUUAUUGUCAAAUUUAUGAUUUAAAUGACUAACCAUUAAUUAAUAACUAAUGAAACGUAAAAUUGAAAGAACAUUUCUAAAAAUUAAUUAAGUUAAUUUAAAAAAUAAAAUAUGUUUUACAAUUCAAUAAAUUUGAAACGGAGGGAGUAGUUAAUCUUCACAAUUAUGUUCUCUCUUCUCUAGAAAUUCUAGGCAUAUUAUUUGGAGUUGAAAUUUUCAUUAAGAAAAAUUAAAUUAUAAAGAAAUCAUCUCUAAAACUUUUUUAAAAAAUAUCCAAACACAUAUUGAUAUUUUCUUGAUUUUUUAAUAAAAUGUAGUUGGUAUUACAAAUAAUAACAUUAUAUUAUAUUGACUAAAUUUUAAAUUUAGAAUAUUUUUAACUAACAUAAAAUCUUCCUCUUCUUGCAGGAAAUUGUGUUUACUUUAGAAUGAUUAAAGAAAAUAAAGCAUGGAUAGAACUCAAAAGUUUAUUCCCUAAUUAUGUCAUGUUUUAAGGAAAUUAGGCGGGUUUGAUUGUCCAAUCAAAUAAAUUAAAGAUUAUAUUGCAUAAACUCUUCAAGAAUGUUGUAUAUUUAUGUCAAAUUAUCUAAAAAGUUAUUUUUUAGAAAAUUUGACAUACAACACUGACACUUUUGAAAAACUCGAGCAAUAUCGAAAAAUGAGUUCCCUUAUAAACUUCACCCUUAUUGUUCUAGUGAGUAUUUAUGCUUGUGUGUUAAGCAUAAACAUGUUUUUAGUGUUUAUAUGACAAAAGUUCAUGACAAGCAUAUGUAAUUUACUAUUAAAUUUUAUGUAUUGCAUUGUGUAAUGAUUUUUUUUUUGUUUACGU
rnacentral:lncRNA from 1 species